GGUAAUACUUGAUAAGAGAUAUGCCCUGGAAUGACUUAUCUCUCAAAUUCGUGCUUAAGGAUGGGGCUGCGGCAGAUUAGGUUGUUGGCGGGGUAAAUGCCCACCAAGCCAUUGAUCUGUAAGGGCUCUUAGCGGAGAGGCCCUGAGAGGGAGUCUGAGACACUACUCCCAGCCCUACGGGGUGCAGCAGUUAGGAAUCAUCUACAAUGCGCGAAAGCGUGAUAGUUUGAGUCAAAGUGCCUUUCUAUUUGAAAGGCUUUUGCCAAAUCUAAAAAGUUUGGCGAAUAAGGACUGGGUAAGACGAGUGCCAGCCGCCGCGGUAAUCCUCGCGGUCCAAGUCGCAGCCACUUUUAUUGGGUCUAAAACAUCCGUAGCUUGCUUUUUAAGUUUCUUGUGAAAUUCUGUGUCUCAAGCACAGAGCGUGCAAGAAAUACUGAAAAGCUAGAGACUGGAAGACGUAAGAAGUACGUUUGAAGUAGCGGUAAAAUGUGUUAAUCUCAAGCGGACUCACAACAGCGAAGGCAUCUUACGAGGACAGUUCUGACAGUAAGGGAUGAAGGCCAAGGGCGCAAAAGGGAUUAGAUACCCCUGUAGUCUUGGCAGUAAACACUGUACACUAAACAUUAGUACCUCCUCGAGAGGUAUUGGUGCUGAAGUGAAGGCGAAAAGUGUACUACCUGGGAAGUAUAGUCGCAAGACCGAAACUUAAAGGAAUUGGCGGGGGA
rnacentral:rRNA from 1 species